rnacentral:snoRNA from 1 species
GUCUGGUUGAUGCAUUCUGACCUCUGGGCCAGAGCGUGAUUAACGGCCAGGAUUCCUCUGAUGGGUGCAAUCCACGGCUGUAGAGGAUCGUUCCUGCCUUGCUCAUAUGCCUGUGCAGGGCGGCCCAGAUGUUGUCUGACAGAC